rnacentral:rRNA from 1 species
CUUGGUCAUUUAGAGGAAGUAAAAGUCGUAACAAGGUCUCCGUUGGUGAACCAGCGGAGGGAUCAUUACGAGAGUGUCACCACUCCCAACCCAUUGUUUACCUACCCGUCCACCGUGCUUCGGCAGGCAGUCCUGUGGGACAGGGCCUCGCCCCCGCGAGGGGGUGCCUGCCGCUGGCCAACCAAAAAUUCUAGCUGUUUUUGUACCAUCUGAGUCUUCCACAAAUAAACAAAACUUUCAACAACGGAUCUCUUGGUUCUGGCAUCGAUGAAGAACGCAGCGAAAUGCGAUAAGUAAUGUGAAUUGCAGAAUUCAGUGAAUCAUCGAAUCUUUGAACGCACAUUGCGCCCACUAGUAUUCUGGUGGGCAUGCCUGUUCGAGCGUCAUUUCAACCCUCAAGCCUGGCUUGGUGUUGGGGCUCUGCGUCUGCAGUCCCUUAAAUCCAGUGGCGGACACGCUAGGUCUCCGAGCGCAGUAGUUUCUCCUCGCUCAGGGCGUCCGGCGUGGGCUUGCCUCGCACCCAUCUUUUACAAGGUUGACCUCGGAUCAGGUAGGAAUACCCAAUGAACUUAAGCAUAUCAAUAAGCGGAGGA